CGGUGCUGUGGGCAGAGGCGACGCAUGUGGGGGGGGUAUGCAGGCUCAUGUGUCUCCUCCAUCCCCCCGAUUUGCUGCCUGGCUUGUAUUGAGCACGCUCACACAGACUGACCAUGCUCAGUAACACCGCUGAAGCUGGCUGCCCUCCCUCUGCCCCCUCACUCUGGCAGACACAGGUCA